UACAGGGGGUGCAAACGUUGCUCGGAAUUAUUGGGCGUAAAGCGCGCGUAGGCGGCCACUUAAGUCGGAUGUGAAAGCCCCUGGCUCAACUGGGGAAGUGCACCCGAAACUGAAUGGCUUGAGUGCGAAAGAGGGUCGCGGAAUUCCCGGUGUAGAGGUGAAAUUCGUAGAUAUCGGGAGGAACACCAGUGGCGAAGGCGACUACCUGGCCUGUUCUUGACGCUGAGGCGCGAAAGCUAGGGGAGCAAACGGG
rnacentral:rRNA from 1 species